rnacentral:rRNA from 1 species
AGGCGACGAUCUGUAGCGGGUCGGAGAGGAUGAUCCGCCACACUGGAACUGAGACACGGUCCAGACUCCUACGGGAGGCGGCAGUGGGGAAUUUUGGACAAUGGGGGCAACCCUGAUCCAGCCAUGCCGCGUGAGUGAAGAAGGCCUUCGGGUUGUAAAGCUCUUUCGGCCGGGAAGAAAUCGCAUGGGCCAAUACCCUGUGUGGAUGACGGUACCGGAAUAAGAAGCACCGGCUAACUACGUGCCAGCAGCCGCGGUAAUACGUAGGGUGCGAGCGUUAAUCGGAAUUACUGGGCGUAAAGCGUGCGCAGGCGGUUUUGUAAGACAGGCGUGAAAUCCCCGGGCUUAACCUGGGAACUGCGUUUGUGACUGCAAGGCUAGAGUACGGCAGAGGGGGGUGGAAUUCUACGUGUAGCAGUGAAAUGCGUAGAGAUGUGGAGGAACGCCAAUGGCGAAGGCAGCCCCCUGGGUCGAUACUGACGCUCAUGUACGAAAGCGUGGGUAGCAAACAGGAUUAGAUACCCUGGUAGUCCACGCCCUAAACUAUGUCAACUAGGUGUUGGGUGGGUAAAACCAUUUAGUACCGUAGCUAACGCGUGAAGUUGACCGCCUGGGGAGUACGGCCGCAAGGUUAAAACUCAAAGGAAUUGACGGGGACCCGCACAAGCGGUGGAUGAUGUGGGUUAAUUCGAUGCAACGCGAAAAACCUUACCUACCCUUGACAUGCCAGGAACUUGCCAGAGAUGGCUUGGUGCCCGAAAGGGAGCCUGGACACAGGUGCUGCAUGGCUGUCGUCAGCUCGUGUCGUGAGAUGUUGGGUUAAGUCCCGCAACGAGCGCAACCCUUGUCGUUAAUUGCCAUCAUUUAGUUGGGCACUUUAACGAGACUGCCGGUGACAAACCGGAGGAAGGUGGGGAUGACGUCAAGUCCUCAUGGCCCUUAUGGGUAGGGCUUCACACGUCAUACAAUGGUCGGUACAAAGGGUUGCCAAGCCGCGAGGCGGAGCCAAUCCCAGAAAGCCGAUCGUAGUCCGGAUUGCAGGCUGCAACUUGCCUGCAUGAAGUCGGAAUCGCUAGUAAUCGUGGAUCAGCAUGUCACGGUGAAUACGUUCCCGGGUCUUGUACACACCGCCCGUCACACCAUGGGAGCGGGUUCCGCCAGAAGUAGGUAGCCUAACCGCAAGGGGGGCGCUUACCACGGCGGGGUUCGUGACUGGGGUGAAGUCGUAACAAGGUA